CAGCAGCCGCGGUAAUGCGAAGGGUGCAAGCGUUAAUCGGAAUUACUGGGCGUAAAGCGUGCGUAGGCGGUGAGUUAAGUCUGCUGUGAAAUCCCCGGGCUCAACCUGGGAAUGGCAGUGGAUACUGGCUCGCUAGAGUGUGUCAGAGGAUGGUGGAAUUCCCGGUGUAGCGGUGAAAUGCGUAGAGAUCGGGAGGAACAUCAGUGGCGAAGGCGGCCAUCUGGGACAACACUGACGCUGAGGCACGAAAGCGUGGGGAGCAAACAGGAUUAGAUACCCCGGUAGUCCCUGUCUCUUAUAC
rnacentral:rRNA from 1 species